rnacentral:lncRNA from 1 species
GUUUUAAAAUUAAACUAGUUCUAGUAAAUAUUCUAGCAAGUCUCGUUUGUUUUAUUUGUUCUUCGUUCUUCGGAGGGACUAUAAAGAAAUCCCAGAUUUGUCGAAUGUGUCUGGGUGAUACAUAAUGGCAAAAACACGUCGUGUAAACAAAUAGAUAUAAAAGUAAACAAAGAUGUUGGACUAAAGAUCGGAUAAACAGUUGUGACUUGAUCAACAAUGGAGGGAUGGAAUACGAGUCAACCAGGUAACCAAGACAAUGGUAUGCUAGUAGAUCUACAGUAUAUGCCUACCCAUUCGUUGUAUAUAUCCAUAAAAAUCAAUUAUGAAAAAAGCCAAUCAUCAAAUUAUCGAAAUCAAUGAAUAGUAACUAAGUACAUGCUAUCAAUAUUUAUGCAAUUCCAGCUUUUAGUUUAUGCGUGCAGGGGGUGACGGGAAGUAAGGUAUCAUAUUGCUGAUUCAGCCGUUCUGCAUGUUGUAACCAAUAAUAUAUUGGCAUUGUAAUGCCAUUGUAUGCAAUAAAGUAUUGGGUUGUAAUGGGUCUACAAUUAAUCCAAAUGCUAAUCCAAACCCUAACCUCUAACCCCCACCUCCUAACCCCCACCUCCUAACCCCCACCUCCUAACCCCCACCUCCUAACCCCAAAGUUGAUGACCUUUUUUUUCUUUUCAGUAUUUGCCCCACCCCACCAACCUUCGUUCUUGGCCAACCUCCGUUCGGCCAAUUACAUUUAUAACUAAAACUUUUGUCCAAUGCUUGUGGUUUUGUCUUCAGUCACAACCCGACACUUUAUUGCAUACAAUGGCAUCACAAUGCCAAUAGAUUAUUGGUCAAUGCCAAUAGAUUAUUGGUUACAACGUGCAGAACGGGUGGCUGAUUACGCUGAAAAAAAUAAAACUGGCGGCCGUGUAAACACAGAGUGACAGCUUAUACUUGUAAAUAUUGAAAUUUCUCGGUUGUUUCGGCAGUUUUUAUUGAAAUUUUUCAGCCUGAUCAGCAAUAUGAUACCUUACUUCCCGUCAUCCCCUGCAUGCAUAAACUAAAAGACGGUUGAAAAAUUUUGUACAUCAAUUUUUAUAUUGAUUGUUAUUGAUUGUUGUCGAUUCUUUGAAAUUUUACUUGUAGAUUGUAGGUGUUGCUGAUUUGUUUCUAAUAAACCAAUGUAAAUGACGGGCAGCAAAUCUGAUACCAAUCAAUACAAAUGCCUUAAUUUUGUCAGCUGCAUUGCAGAUUGAGAUAUGUAAUUGUGAUGUGAUCUAACAGCGGGCAAAUUGGGCCAUUUUAACAAAGAAUUCACCUGAAUUUGCUUGUGCUUUGCAUUAGCCAGAAUGCCAGAUAGUUAAUAAUCAUUUCACCCAAUAUGUACAGAUCUUUUUCCAUAAUGCAGAUCGAAGGUUGCAGCCGAUAAAGUUUUCCAAGAAAAGAUCAAAGAAAAUCCUACCAACCAUAUCAGAGAAAUGGAAGAAAGAAUUUGCAGGCCUGGCUGGGGUGAUUGUCUUUUUUGUGAUUGUAAUAUGGUUUAGACAGUUUUAUUGUGAUUUGGGUGCG